GGGUCAGUAGGUUGGUCGUGCCACCGGUACGUACUGGCCUCACUGAUUCCUCCUUCCUGAAGAACCGUAAUGCCAUUAAUUUGGUGUUGCGGGGAAACAGGACUGUUACUUCGAAAAAAUUAGAGUGUUUAAAGCAAGCUAACGCUUGAAUACAUUAGCAUGGAAUAAUGAAAUAGGACGAUCGAUCCUAUUUUGUUGGUUUCUAGGAUUGACGUA
rnacentral:rRNA from 1 species